rnacentral:rRNA from 1 species
GCCUGCAUGAAGCUGGAAUUGCUAGUAAUCGCGGAUCAGCAAGCCGCGGUGAAUACGUUCCCGGGCCUUGUACACACCGCCCGUCACACCAUGAGAGUCGGGAACACCCGAAGUCCGUAGUCUAACCGCAAGGGGGGCGCGGCCGAAGGUGGGUCCGGUAAUUGGGGUGAAGUCGUAACAAGGUACC